ACGCCCCAUGAUGAGAGCAGAGCCCACCAGGAAGACAAGACUCCUUUCCUGGCAAGGAUUGAGCCUUGGCCUCCGCUUACCAUAGUCUUCCUGUUUCUUUUUCCCCUUUAUAGAAGCAUCCUCCCUCCCUUGCCCCAUGUGGGGACUUGCUUGUGGCUUGUCAUGGUUGCACACCCCAAACUGCUGUUCUCUGCUGAUCCAGAAUAUGCCCAUCAUUGCUGAAGAAAUAUCUGGCAGUAUAAUUGUUUUAGGUCAACACCACAAAAUCAUGAGACAUGGUUUAUUAUACAAUAAUAGAUAAUUAGAAUACUAUCUAAAAAGAUGGCUAUGGGAGUUCCCAUCAUGGCUCAGCAGAAAUGAAUCUGAUUGGCAUUCAUGAGGACGGAAGUUCAAUCCCUGGUCUCUCUCAGUGGGUUAAGGAUUCCGCAUUGCUAUGAGCUGUGGGGUAGGUCACAGACGAGACUCAGAUCCCACAUUGCUGUGGCUGCAGUGUAGGCUGGCAGCUGUAGCUCUGAUUUGACCUCUAGACUGGGAACCUCCAUGUGCCGCAGAUGCGGCCCUAAAAAAGACAAAAAAUAAUAAACAAAUAAAUUAAAGGAUGGCUCUGAUGGUCAAAAUGAAACUGUGGCUACAAAAGGACUUGUACACUGCAAAGCAACAUGUUUUGUCAAUGUUAUACAAAAGAACAGAGAUUGUCUCUAAAUACAGGUACUUACAAUUAUUAACUUUUGUGACAUCUGCCAUUACUGUUUAGGGACGCAAAGUCAAUUGCCAUCAAAUAACAGUGGUAGACGUGAAGAGAAAUACAUUGAGCUUCUAGUUCUUUACUUUGAUGGGGGCCAAGGCUUUGUGAGCAAGAGAUCUCCAGCUGAGAAAAGAAUAUAUCAUCAGGCUUUAAGUUAUUUAUUUCAUUAAGGAAUUUGGGGCAGUGAUUUCUUUUCCUAUGACUGUAUUCACCUUAGAGUAUUUUGAAACAAUCUCAAUUAACCAGAAUAGUCAAAGAACAUUGUACUCUAAUUGUCUGAAAAUUUCAUCAGGGCUUCUCAUCAAUCUUUCCAAAAUGCGGUAAGUUUCGUGUCUUAGUAAGUUGUUCAGGAAAUCCAAACUCUUCAAAAAAUUGUGAAAAAUUAAUUUAUUUAAAAAGUAGGAGUUCCUGCUGUGGUGCAGUGGGUUAAUGCUCUGGCCUUGUCUCUGUGAUGGCGCCAGUUUGAUCCCUGGCCCAGCAGUGGGUUAAGGAUCUAGCAUUCCUGAAACUGCGGCAUAGGUUGCAGCUACGGCUCAGAUUCGAUCCCUGGCCUGGGAACUUGCAUAUGCCCUGGGUGCGGCCAAAAAAAUAUAAAUUAAAAAAAUUUUAAGUUAAUUUAGGAGCUCCCAGGUGACUCAGUGCGUUAAGGAUCCAGCAUUGUUAUUGCUGUGGCUCAAGUUGCUGCUGUGGCAUGGGUUUGAUCUCUGGCCCAGAAAGGCGCAGCCAAAACAGAAACGAAACAAAAGUUAAUUUAUUGAGUGUUUGAAACUUAAAAUGCAUUUUCCCACUGAAAUAAUGCUAUAAAUGAUAAUAAGAUCCCAAGAGUCAGAGGCAACAGCAUUCCAAAGGUGCUAGAAUACUGCAUAAUUAUACAUUUUAAGGUCUAUAAAAAUUCCUGCAACCAAUUCCACGCUGUGAUCUUUUUCUUUUAAAGCCUCAUAACAUAUACUCAACCUGAUCAAACCCUUUUCUGUAAGAUCUGGGGAGCCCCCAGGCUGUGAAAGCCCAGUAGGAUGGCAGAUUGACAAGGACAAAGGCUGAGUCCCUGUUCCCUGUGUGUGUCCAGGGCUCCACACAGUUCUCAGCCCUCAAAUGCUGGCUGUCAUCCAGAAGCUGCACAGCACAGUGACAUGCUUCAGGUCAGAGAGACCUGGCUUUGAUUCUGCCCUGCCUCUUGCUUGUGGCAACAGUGGGCAAAGCUCAGCAUCUCUAAGCCUCAGUUCUCCAACCAUAAAAUGAGAAGCAAUAGCCUACCACGGGGGAGCAUUUUAUAUAAAGGGUUGGUAUCUCGCCUGGCACACAGGGCUCAAAAAGUGGCAGCAAUCAUGAUUACUAUUACUGAACCCAGACUUAUCCCACAUGUACCUCCCAGAGCAUCCGCUGCCCAGCAGUUCUGGGGGAUGGUGGAGAGCAGAGGAGAGGAGAUAAAUUACUUAUAUUUGACAUUUGGAUUAGUACAUGUCAGAGUUCCCGUCAUGGCGCAGUGGUUAACGAAUCCAACUAGGAACCAUGAGGUUGCAGGUUCCCUGGCUAGGGAUCUAAUCAGAGCUAUAGCUGCCGGCCUACACCACAGCCACAGCAACUGAGGAUCCACAGCUCACGGCAACGCCAGAUCCUUAGCCCACUGAGCGAGGCCAGGGAUCGAACCCGCAACCUUCGUUAACCACUGAGCCACAACAGGAACUCCAGAUUUCAGUUUAUUUUGUGCAAAACAAGAGAGCUAAUUAAUGUGAUCGCUAGGUUCCUUUCCAGCCCCGUGAUCGUGAAUUUCAGGAUUCCGAAAGGGGCUUGAAUUCUCUUAGAAAUUGCAUCUUAUGCCUACAAAUUGAGUGCAGAGAAAAAUUAAGGUUUAUUAAGGGUGUUAAUAAACUACUAUUUGUGUUAUCACUCACCAUUUGAGGGGGUCCCUGUUCUGGGGUUUUCUUUAAUGUCUUCACUCGAAAUUACUUGACUAUGUUACUGCUCCUAUAGCUGCUCACAUAAUGAAGGUAGCGCAAGGCUUUAACUCUUCCAGAACUCCUUGGUACAGAUUAAAGUAAUCUAACUAAGAGAGAGAAAGAGAGAGUGAGGUUGCAAUUUUUAGUACAUAAGAAGCUAAGGCGAAAAUAAUCAGCUGCUUUCCAGAUACACUGAAGUCAAAAUAACGACCUGAUGCACCCGUAUGAAAUAAGUAAAUUCACCGCUCCACAGUAGAGCAGAUCAGCCCUUCCUUUUUUUCUUGUCUCUUCCAUUGUCCUCGAAUCCAUCUGAUUAUUUUAAAAGUGUACUAGAAUCAGGAGUUCCCAUCAUGGCACAAUGGUAACAAACCCGACUAGUAUCCAUGAGGACACAGGUUCAAUCCCUGGCCUCACUCCGUGGGUUAAGGAUCCGGCAUUGCCGUGAGCUGUGGUGGUAGGUUGCAGACAUGGCUCGGAUCCUGCAUUGCUGUGGCUAUGGUGUAGGCUGGCAGCUGCAGCUCCAAUUCGAUCCCUAGCCUGGGAACUUCCUUAUGCUGUGGGUGUGGCCCUAAAAAGAAAAAGAAAGUGUUCUAGAAUUCUUUUUUUUUUUUUUUUUUAAGGGCACAUCAUUCAUUUAUUGUUUAAAGAUCUCAAGACAACACCUGAAUUUCUGUAGCACAAUUUAAAUGUUUUAUUCUUUUUGAUAAAGCAGAGUAUAAUAGAAAAAAAGAGUUUCCAGUAAUAUCUAUAUCUCUAUUCAGAAUUAAGUCUUCCACAGACAUGUUACCUGGAAACAAAUGCCUGUUACAAUAAGCAAAGCUUCAACCAGAGCUGCUACUUUUCAUGCCAGGAAAAAGUUCAUCCCUAUAGGAGGAAUGAUGUGCUAUGUAAAAUGGCUAUUAAGAUCACAGCCUUGAGGGCGCUGGAAGCAUAUUAUCCUAUUCUACAUUAAGUAGUUUUGUGAAUUUCAAACAUCUGUUUAUCUACAACCAAGCCGGCAACCUUUAACUGAUAUUUUAAUCAGGUAAAAAAUAAAUUAAAAAAAAAUCCCUAUGGAGUUCCCAUCGUGGCUCAGUGGUUAACGAAUCUAACUAAGAACCAUGAGGUUGUGGGUUCAAUCCCUGGCCUUGUUCAGUGGGUUAAGAAUCACAGCGUUGUCAUGAGCUGUAGUGUAGGUUGCAGACACAGCUUGGAUCCUGCGUUGCUGUAGCUGUGGUGUAGGCCGGUGGCUACAGCUCUAAUUCAACCCCUAGCCUGGGAACCUCCAUAUGCUGCGGAAUCGGCCCAAGAAAUGGCAAAAGAC
rnacentral:lncRNA from 1 species